AGAGCGAACGCUGGGGCGGCAGGCCUAACACAUGCAAGUCGAGCGCCCGUAGCAAUACGGGAGCGGCAGACGGGAUAGUAACACGUGGGAACGCGCCCUUCGGUUCGGAAUAACUCAGGGAAACUUGAGCUAAUACCGGAUACGCCCUUACGGGGAAAGAUUUAUUGCCGAAGGAACGGCCCGCGUCCGAUUAGCUAGUUGGUGAGGUAAUGGCUCACCAAGGCGACGAUCGGUAGCUGGUCUGAGAGGAUGACCAGCAUCACUGGGACUGAGACACGGCCCAGACUCCUACGGGAGGCAGCAGUGGGGAAUAUUGGACAAUGGGCGCAAGCCUGAUCCAGCCAUGCCGCGUGGAUGAUGAAGGCCUUAGGGUUGUAAAGUCCUUUUAACGGGGAAGAUAAUGACGGUACCCGUAGAAUAAGCCCCGGCUAACUUCGUGCCAGCAGCCGC
rnacentral:rRNA from 1 species